GGAUGUGAGGGCGAUCUGGCUGCGACAUCUGUCACCCCAUUGAUCGCCAGGGUUGAUUCGGCUGAUCUGGCUGGCUAGGCGGGUGUCCCCUUCCUCCCUCACCGCUCCAUGUGCGUCCCUCCCGAAGCUGCGCGCUCGGUCGAAGAGGACGACCUUCCCCGAAUAGAGGAGGACCGGUCUUCGGUCAAGGGUAUACGAGUAGCUGCGCUCCCCUGCUAGAACCUCCAAACAAGCUCUCAAGGUCCAUUUGUAGGAGAACGUAGGGUAGUCAAGCUUCCAAGACUCCAGACACAUCCAAAUGAGGCGCUGCAUGUGGCAGUCUGCCUUUGUUU
rnacentral:snRNA from 1 species